rnacentral:rRNA from 1 species
UACGGAGGGUGCGAGCGUUGUCCGGAAUCACUGGGCGUAAAGGGCGCGUAGGUGGCGCGGGAAGUCAACGGUGAAAGUUCGGGGCUCAACCCUGAAUCGGCCGUCGAUACUCCCGGGCUCGAGCACUGUAGAGGCAGAUGGAAUUCCGGGUGUAGCGGUGGAAUGCGUAGAGAUCCGGAGGAACACCAAAGGCGAAGGCAGUGUCCUGGGGAGUACCUGACGCUCAGGUGCGAAAGCCAGGGGAGCGAACGGG